CUGGCGUGACAAGAACAUGCUCUGAGUGAUCACUGGUCCUGGUUAGAGAGAGACCUGGAGACCCACAGACUGAAGCAGGGCUGCUCCAGCCAACCUGCAGACCUAUAAAGAGAACACUACUUGUCACUAGCCACCUGCACAUGAAGAGCUUGGUUUGGGAGGCUGCCUGAUGCCCCCAAGGGCCUGGCACGUGCCCAGGUGCCAUCCCUAAGCAGAAGGGCCUUUCUGGGGCUGUGCCUGGAUGGCAGUGGUGGAGCUCACCUUCCCAGCUGCUGGCCCUGCUGACCAACCAUGGCGCCAGGCCCCGACGAGUGUAGACAUCAGCCUCGGCCUUUGGGGAUACACGGUGUUAAAAGCGGGCCCAGCUGGAUGUGCUUCCUCUCCAGGGAGCUCCUACGCAACAACGCAGGCCUGGCAGGAUGCUGGGUGUCUUUGUAUAUUCUCUUUUGAUGGGUGAAAAUUUCCCACGAUAUUGGAGCUUGGAGCAAAAGCAGACCCCCGCCGCAUCCCUCCGCCUCCUGAAACCCUUACCUGGAAAGCGCUGAGUGCAGGAGGGAGACGCGGGCCACGUGGAGCGACUCUGUAUGUGCGUCCAUGAGCUGAGUCCUGGCCGGGCGAUGGCCCAAUCUUCCAAAGAGUGCCAGCCCCCUGGACCUGUGUGGGUUGGAGGGAGCCUCCAUUGUACUCUGGCUGCAGGUAGAAACAUGAUACAAUCAUAUUUCACCCCCAAAUCACCACUAGCCCAGAAAUGCCUAAUUUGGUUUAUUUAUUCAUGUGACUACAACCCUGAUGAAGGUGGGGCAAUCCAGUGGGCUAGUGUGACCCCAAGGGGACAAUGCCUCCCACACAAGUUCUGGCCCUGAGCCAAGCUACUCCAGGAUGAAAAAAAAAGGCACUGAGCUCAGCCCUCAGCUCACCUCCCCUCCAGGACACCCUCUGGGACCCAUAUCUGGUGUGACCCUUCUGACAUAUAUAAAAAUGCCUCAGUGUUCCCGAAUCUGGUUAUAUUUGGUCUUGUGCAGGCUUCUCAGAAAUAUCCACCUUACUUCUGGGUAUACAUAUAUAUAUUGAUUUGUGGCCUAUUCCAGUCCUUAAAACUCUACUCAAUUUUUCAGGCUUGGACCAAGUGCCACCACCUCCAGGCAGCCUUACCAGAUUGCUCACAGAUUGAAUUCACUGCUCUCUCCUCUGUAGCUCAAGUCCCCUUCCCACCUUGAGUACAUUUAGAUGUUUAAAUUCUGUUUCCUCUAUUAGACUCACUCAUUCAUUCAUUUAUAAAUCCAUUUGGCUGAACUUGACUGAGUCCCUGCCAUGCACAGGCCUGGUGCCUUCAGGUGCCUGUAUCCCCAGGCAGGUUUACGUUCCUAGCGCUGAGCACAGCACCUGCCUGUUGGGUAACAGGUGUUUGGUAAAUAAGUAGAUGCUGUGAACCCAUCUGCCCAACCCUCCUGCACUCAGCACAUCUUUGUUUAGACUUUUACCUGUGCCUUUGCAGAUCACACUUCAAUGAACAUUUUUCCUCCCUUGAUGGGAGAGCUGUGGUGGUGUGGUAAAAACUGUUGGUCAGACUGUUGGAGUUGCCUGCUGCUCUGGCCUGGGCCCCCGGCCGCCGGGUUCCCACGCUGGCUGCGCUUCAGACAAGCUUGCCCAGCCCCGCUGUCCUCCUCCACGGCCUCUGAGAGGUGAGGGCAGUGGGCUUGCUGGAGCCUGUCCAGGUGGUGUAGCUGUUGCCAUUACCUGCAUCAGUCUCUUGGGGCGGCCGUAACAAAGUACCACCAAACGGGUGGCUCGAAACAACAGAAACUUCUCUCACAGCUCUGAAGACCAGAAGUCCAAAAUCAGGGCGUUGGCAGGACCCCACUCCCUUCCCAGGCUCUAGAGGGGAUCCUUCCUCACCUCUACAGGCCUCUGGGGGCUGCUGGUGUUCCUCGCUGUGCCUUGGCCUGUGCACACAUCACUCCAAUCUCUGUUUCUGUCUUUACUUGGCCUUAUUCAGUGUGUCUCCCUCUGUGUCUCUUCUCUUCUUUUAAAGACACCAGCCACUGGUGUAGAGCCAACUCUCACCCAGUACAACCUCAUCUUAAUGACAUUUGCAAAGAUCCUGUUUCCAAAUAAGGUCACAUUCUGACGUUCUGGGCGAACGUGAAUUUAGGGGGACACUGUUCAACCACCACACAGCCCUCCUGGGCAGAAAUCCGGCAUCACCCACAUUCCCAGAGCGCUGCUAUGGGUGUGCAGGGAAGGGAAGAGGACCCGGAUGGUUGGGCCCCUCUCAUGGCAGCCACACGCCUGAUCCAGUCAUGACUCUCCUUCAGCCCUGCCUGGAGGCCCCGAGGCCCCCCCAGUCCGGCUGUGGUUGAGCCGAGAGUCCUGCCCAGGCUUCUGGUUCUGAAUCCGAGUCUCUUCCUAGAGAGACAGGUUUCUUCCGCAGUGUGCGCCCUGGUCGUCCUUGGGCUGCCCUGUGUCUGGGUGAGCAAUGCCACCUGAGGGGGCCCAGUAUGGCAUUUUGUAAGCACAGUGUGACAUUCCUAGGUAGCUCUGCAGCCUCUGGGGGCAGAAGCCCUGGUUUCUGACACGUAAAUUACUGUGUUGUUGCCAAUGUAAGUUGUAAACACAAGUAAGCCCACGUCACAAAUCCACUUUUAUUAAAACAUGUAACUUUUCAGUGUUAUGGGUCCAAUUUUCACUAAAUGAGGAAGAUGACCAAACCAUCUGAGCAAGAAAAAUUAAGGACAACUCUUUACCAAUCAGUGGGGACCCUAAACGCAUGAGUGAAAAUGAAGAUAGCCAUUCCAGUAUUUUAUGUUAAUUAAACUCUGGAUAUGACUCAGCUUGUAGAGAAGUGAAACAUUGGUUCUUCGUCAGGCUGUUCAGAGUGUUGUCCUUGGGAAAGAAGUUGGGCGAGUUGGGCCUUGUCUGUUUAUGUUCAUUGCUGUGAGCAUCUCUGCCCUGAAGCACCAAGAUGGGGCACAGCCCCGCUGCACAAAGGUCUUUUCUUAUGAACACAGUCAGUUUGUUUGAGCUUCUUACAAGGGUUAUGGUGUCUGGGCUUGGGUGGCCAGGGAACCUGGGUGCCUGGGGCUAAGAGCCUGGUGGGGCUCUGCCCCGUGCUUCCCAGCUCAGCCUCUUUGAGCUUCAGUCUCCUCCAUGGUACCCUGGGAAUGAUGCCAGCAGCCACCUCAAAGGCUGCUGUGAGGAUUAAAUGCCUCCUUCCAGGAGAAGGGCCUAGCACUGGGCCAGCACGCGCAGUGGGCGCUCCGUGAAGCCAGCCGCUAUUAUCCACACUUGCCUGAUGAGCGCACGCACAAAUGUGAAAUUAUCAGCCCACCUCAUAGGUGGGCCUUUUCCUCCCUCAGAAUCACUCCCGGCAAGGAGCAUCUUCUCCCCUUGCAAACUCUGGGGAAGUGGUUAUCAGAUGUGAACCCAGGAGCUCUGUCUGCUCUUGGCAUUCAACCCUCAGCACAGAGCCACCAUGAUUACAAUUCUUACUUUUAUCUGCUCUUUAAAGUAAACAACCAGUUCACACCCCGAGAGCUUACAGAUUGGUAGGAUAUAAAUACAUCAAUUUGUUUUAAGCUGUCGGAGAGAAGAAUG